GUGAAUCAUCAAAUUUUUGAACGCAAAUUGCACUCUCUUCGGAGAGUAUGCCUGUUUGAGGGUCAGUAUAAUAAAAAUCGGAGCGAUGCUUUUUGGGUGACGCACCGGAGUUUGGGUCAUCUUAACUCUUUUCUUUAAGAGAUCUAAGAUUAACAUUCUUUUUUGUUGACUUUUGAGAGGUACUUAGUUUUUUUUUAUUCUACUUUCCUGGUGUCAAUUUUUUUUUUAGAUCGUGAUUA
rnacentral:misc_RNA from 1 species